rnacentral:rRNA from 1 species
CGGAGUGGACGAACCUCUGGUGUUCGGGUUGUCAUGCCAAUGGCAUUGCCCGGUAGCUAAGUUCGGAAUCGAUAACCGCUGAAAGCAUCUAAGCGGGAAGCGAGCCUUGAGAUGAGUUUUCCCUGACGCUAUAAGCGUCCUAAAGGGUUGUCGUAGACUACGACGUUGAUAGGCAGGGUGUGUAAGUGCUGCGAGGCAUUGAGCUAACCUGUACUAAUUGCCCGUGAGGCUUAACCAU